rnacentral:misc_RNA from 1 species
GCUUGAACCGUAACGUCAUGGGAAGAUGGCGGACGGAACCUCGAGAGCAGGCAAUGCCCUACAGAAGCGCCAGGAAUCUUUAAAAAGAUGGAAAGGCAGUGAAACAGAUAGACAACCUGUAGACCGAUCCAAGAAGAAAGCUAAAAUCAAAUUCAACGCAGGGAUUGUAUUUCUUUCGGCGGUUUCUAGCGGUGAUGUGGACGAAGUGAAGAAAUUGUUAGCAAAAGGGACAGACAUCGACUUUCAAAAUGUCGACGGACUUACAGCUCUUCAUCAGGCUUGCAUAGAUGAAAGUUUCGAUUUAGUCAAGAUUUUAGUUGCGAAUGGGGCUCGUUUGGAUAUUAGAGACAACGAGGGUUGGACUCCUCUACAUGCUGCCGCUAGCUGUGGAUCUGUUGAAAUCGCCAAAUAUCUUAUACAAAAAGGCGCAGAUGUUGCUGCCGUCAAUAAUGAGGGGGAGUUACCCCUGGAUCUUGCAGAGGAGGAGGANAUGGAGGAUAUUCUUACUGAUGAAAUUGAACGACUAGGAAUUGAUGCUGAAGAAGCACGAAAUGUAGAAGAAAAAUUAAUGUUAGAAGAUGCCCAAAGCUGGCUAAACAAGAAUUGUAUAAAUGACUUAAAAGAUAGAACAGGAGCAACAGCUCUACAUGUAGCAGCUUCUAAGGGAUAUCUAAAAGUUAUGGCGUUGCUAUUACAGCUCAAUGUAGACCCUAAUGAAAAAGAUCAUGAUGGCUGGUCUCCACUACAUGCUGCAGCUCAUUGGGGCCAAACUGAGGCUUGUGAGGUUCUAGCAGAUAAUGGUGCAGACUUUACUGCUAGGAAUAAAGUGGGUCAAACACCCAUAGAUUUAGCUGAACCUGAUAUGGUAAAAAUUCUAGAAGAACUUAAAAAGAGGCAAAAUGAUAAAAGCAAAUUGAAAGAAAAUGCUCCUCGAAUAAGUAAUGCUGUGCCUCCAUUAAAAAGAAGUAGUACUACUGGUUUUAAGGACCCAUCAUUAAACAAUGACAACACUGACUAUGAUCUCGCAGGACUGAUGAGUUCAAUAACGAGAAUAAAAGAUCAAAACUUAGGUCUAAAAGAUAUAUGUCAAGAACGAAAGGAACUGGACAAAAGUCGGGAACUCACUCCUCAAAAACCNCGUUAUGCCAAAGUACCAAACUUUACCGAGUCGCCCAAGGAAGACAAAGAAAAAGAAGANAAGGGAUUUAAAUUCGANAAGGAUGAAAGUGAAAGUGAUAGCGAGACUGAUAGCGAAACGGGUUCCGAAGAGGAAUCUUCGGAAGAAGAGCCUGCUCCCGUAAAAUACCCAGUCUCUGUUAAUCCUAAAAACAUUACGAACUCACACAGACAACCGGCUGCUUCUAAGCAGCCUGUGAAAUCUGAGUCCUCCGGGUCCGAAACACAGAGCGAAAGCGAAGAAGAGCAAAAGCCUGCCCCUACACGCCCUUCAUACGGGACUCGAUCAAACCCAAGCUCAACGAGUACAACGUACCCUCGGACAACUGCUCAACGUAACUCGAACACUACUUCUGCAGUGUCAACAAGUCGGCAGCCUUCGACUGGUGGGUCAAGUACGCUAAGGUCACCUUUUCUUGACCAGGAUAAAAAGACUACGCCCUCAUCUCCUGUCUCGAAAACUGAACCCUCUAGAUAUACUUCACGUUUUGAGAAUCGUGAUUCUACGUCCCGGUUAACUAAUGUUACAACACCAGUUCGUACAACUGCGUCUGCGACAAAUACUUCUACCACCGUGACAACUUCGAACAGAGGCCGAACAGGCAGCGCAACAUCAUCAGACAAAGACGAUACGACGACUAGCAUCAGUACUAGAAGAAAGGCCCAUAAAGUAACCAAACGGGCAGGAACAACAUAUGUCGGGAAUGUAGCNCCNGAUGAUGAUGAUGACGAUGAUGAAAGUAAAGAUAAUGAUGUUGCUAGUAAGGAUGCUUCAAAAGAUACCAAGAAGGAAUCAACCAGUGCGUCCUCAGACUAUACACGUGGACGAAAUCGCCCAACAGUAACCNCCACAGAUAAGAAUGAAGACAGCGUAUCGAACAAGAAAUUACGUACAGAGGACAAGGAUAAUGACGAUAAAAUUUCAUCUUGGAGGCAAAAGCGAUUGGAGCGAGAGGCCCAGCGUAAGGAAAAGGAGCAACGAGAGAAAGAGCAGGAAAAAGAAAAAGAGAAUGAAAAGGGAAAAGAAAGCGAAGUCCCGCGCUCACGGUACAGUCGUCGCCAAGAACGAGAACAAAAGGUGAGCGAAACAAACUCGAGUAUUUCUAGACAAAAGGAAGAAAGGGAGAAGGAAAGUGACGUUACACUCAGCUCCGGCACACGAAGACACAGACCAAGGAAGUUAAGAGACGAACGGCGUGGUACAGGCGUAGCCUACAUGCCUACUGAAGAGAGUGAUGACUCGCAAGAUUCUAAGAAGAAUACCAAGGCAAAUGAGGUGGCUGAACCAAGGACGUCAUCUUACAGACAUAGCAGGAACUUUGAUAGGGAUUCUAGUGAUUCCAAGAGCUACAGGUACAGCGGACUCACGAGUUCCCCUGUCUACAGCCCAAGUCAAUACUAUGGCGGAUUCUCGAGUACAUCGUCUUACAGCCCGAGGCAAUACUACUAUUCGGAUUACCGAGACCGACCCGAAAAAACUCCAAGAACAACUCCAAGAAGCUCAUAUAGAACUUCAGGAGUACAAAGUGAAACUAGAGACUACUACCCAAGAAAAGGAAAAAUUAGAACAAAAACUUACACAAUUAACUGAAGAUUUGAAGCAAUUAGAUGACCUGAAGGCCGAGAAUCAAAAACUGAAAGAUGAAAAUGGUGCCUUGAUUCGUGUAAUUAACAGAUUCGACUAUACUCG